UGAACGCUGGCGGCAUGCCUUACACAUGCAAGUCGAACGGCAGCACGGGUGCUUGCACCUGGUGGCGAGUGGCGAACGGGUGAGUAAUACAUCGGAACAUGUCCUGUAGUGGGGGAUAGCCCGGCGAAAGCCGGAUUAAUACCGCAUACGAUCUACGGAUGAAAGCGGGGGACCUUCGGGCCUCGCGCUAUAGGGUUGGCCGAUGGCUGAUUAGCUAGUUGGUGGGGUAAAGGCCUACCAAGGCGACGAUCAGUAGCUGGUCUGAGAGGACGACCAGCCACACUGGGACUGAGACACGGCCCAGACUCCUACGGGAGGCAGCAGUGGGGAAUUUUGGACAAUGGGCGAAAGCCUGAUCCAGCAAUGCCGCGUGUGUGAAGAAGGCCUUCGGGUUGUAAAGCACUUUUGUCCGGAAAGAAAUCCUUGGCUCUAAUACAGUCGGGGGAUGACGGUACCGGAAGAAUAAGCACCGGCUAACUACGUGCCAGCAGCCGCGGUAAUACGUAGGGUGCGAGCGUUAAUCGGAAUUACUGGGCGUAAAGCGUGCGCAGGCGGUUUGCUAAGACCGAUGUGAAAUCCCCGGGCUCAACCUGGGAACUGCAUUGGUGACUGGCAGGCUAGAGUAUGGCAGAGGGGGGUAGAAUUCCACGUGUAGCAGUGAAAUGCGUAGAGAUGUGGAGGAAUACCGAUGGCGAAGGCAGCCCCCUGGGCCAAUACUGACGCUCAUGCACGAAAGCGUGGGGAGCAAACAGGAUUAGAUACCCUGGUAGUCCACGCCCUAAACGAUGUCAACUAGUUGUUGGGGAUUCAUUUCCUUAGUAACGUAGCUAACGCGUGAAGUUGACCGCCUGGGGAGUACGGUCGCAAGAUUAAAACUCAAAGGAAUUGACGGGGACCCGCACAAGCGGUGGAUGAUGUGGAUUAAUUCGAUGCAACGCGAAAAACCUUACCUACCCUUGACAUGGUCGGAAUCCCGCUGAGAGGUGGGAGUGCUCGAAAGAGAACCGGCGCACAGGUGCUGCAUGGCUGUCGACAGCUCGUGUCGUGAGAUGUUGGGUUAAGUCCCGCAACGAGCGCAACCCUUGUCCUUAGUUGCUACGCAAGAGCACUCUAAGGAGACUGCCGGUGACAAACCGGAGGAAGGUGGGGAUGACGUCAAGUCCCCAUGGCCCUUAUGGGUAGGGCUUCACACGUCAUACAAUGGUCGGAACAGAGGGUUGCCAACCCGCGAGGGGGAGCUAAUCCCAGAAAACCGAUCGUAGUCCGGAUUGCACUCUGCAACUCGAGUGCAUGAAGCUGGAAUCGCUAGUAAUCGCGGAUCAGCAUGCCGCGGUGAAUACGUUCCCGGGUCUUGUACACACCGCC
rnacentral:rRNA from 1 species